AGCUGUGAGGCGAAGCUGAGCAGGUAUGCGAUAUCUGUCCGUUACGGUUUUAGGCCUUGUGGGAAUGAAGCUCCCUAAGCUGGUGGAAUUCCGGUGCCAAAAGGAGAGCUUAGUUUAAGGCACGAGCUGGACGCUUUGGAAGAUUUGCUUUCUGCGUAUGUGACAUAAAAUAGCAUUGGAUUUUUAACCUGGAAACAAUACAAUACAAUAGUGACUCAGCAAGUGACUCUUGCAAUGAUGAAGGUUAUGUUGGUAGGGACAACUGACCUUGUUGAUGAAUACCAACAAUUCUGAUGGCAGAGCAUGCUGAGUCAGGUCGAGCUGCCUUUUGUACUCACGUGCUAUUUUUCGGUGCACCGUACGGCUAGGGUUGAAUGCAAAGUCCUGCGGUAUUAGAUAACCGUGACGUCGAAGGCGUUUGCUAGAAACUGCCACAAUGUAGACCUUAGUAGAAAAGGGAAUAAGUUUCCACUUGGGAAGGGCCUGGUAUGGAGAAUUAAGUGUGAUUGCUAGACAAACGCAUCUUACAGUGCCUUUGUGAAGGAAGCUCGUAUGACACAUUUUUACCGGGGUAGAACUUAAGAAAAAGACAUUAAGUGAUAAAUCCAUUCGUAGGAAUGGCCCUGUGGACCUCUGUGAUGGGACAUCUGGUGGAAUCUCACAGGCAGGUAAGUCAAUAAUGAAUCUCCGAAACAUAAUGAAUUAAAAGCCCAUGAUGGUAUGAGAGUAGUGGACAGAAGGGAUUUCUGAAAAACACUGUUCUGAGGCUUUAAUAUAAAGUGCUGGGGGAAAGUAAGUUCAGUGAAGGAGGGGACUGACUCUUCACAUCUUUUCUUUCUAGUUCUGUGGCAAAGAUGGAUGAAAGCUAAGGUUAGUAUGAAAAUGGCCCUAGUGAGAGAAGUUCGAUGAAAAAGAUAGUGCCACAAUGAUGACAUCAUUUGCUACUCUUGACAGUUGGGGUGACGAUAGCUAUAGACCACCAUUAAUCAUAACUGAGGCACAAAGAAAGAUGAUUGGGGGGCACUUACAGAGUAAGCAGUAUUUACAUAAAGACUUUCUUCCCCAGGACUCAUGAGGAAGCUGGAUAACUGAACAAAGCCAUGUAAGCAGGCUUUUUGGUAUGCAUGUGGUCCCAUUACAAGGAAUACCCAAUAAAUAGCAAAUGCACACUGCCAUUCACAAGCAAUUGCAGAGAAUGGGUGGGGGAUGUGAAACUAAAGAGCUUUGUAGCUGCCUGAGGAGGUGGGUUCUCUAUAUCCGUGGGAGCUAGUGAUCCCCCACAGGUCUUAGCUGGUGCCAUGAUUGUGAUCUUAGGCCAGAUUUGAUGUCCCCCACAUGGCCGAGUCCGCCAUGGAUGCAACAGGGCAGCUUUAUUUGCUGUUGCAGGUACAAGAAUGGGAAGCCAGAAAAUGGGAUGGUAAGUGAAUCUAAAGGAUUGUAGUAAUAGAGGCCAAAUAUGGCUUGGCAUUACACUUUUUGAAAAGUGCUUGGGCCACAUGCAGUGUCCUAGCCAUAUCUUUGUGAACACAGCCUACAUGAUGACAAACAAAUGCUGACUAAUGUGAAGAUCUUAAUUAGCUCUAUCUGAUGUUGGGCUCCACCUGGCUUUUGUGGGGAGAGUUGAAUUUUUUGACUGCACUAACAGUUGUAAUUCUUUCAGGUGGAGUUUGAAUCAGGUGGACAGUUCUAAAAGUAAGUAGUGAAAAACAGUUGCUGUAGGUCAGUACAAAGUGGCAUGAAGAAAUUUUUAAAUUCAGAGUCCAGCAUGUAUUGUCUUCUGAUGCUUGAAUUAGUUGUAUUCUUGACAACACUUAAACGGGGUUUUUGUAAUGAUGUUGAUCAAAUGUCUGAGCUGAAAAUAACUUGUAGACAAUUUUUAACACUGAAGAACCCUGUGGCAGGCUACUAAGCAUAGUUGGGUCACAUGCAGCAUAUUUGUAAGAGGUAUUUUCUUUUAAUUCUAGCUACUGUGGUUGCAUGCUUUCAUUGGGAUGGCUUGCUUGGGUAAGAAGCCAUUGGGGGUCUUGAAUUCAAGAUGUAUUCUAUCCAGUAGUCAUUUGCAGUAUUCCUGUAUAACAUUUAACUUUUGAACAUGCAUGUGCUACCAUGGGUACUAAAUGGUGCCUUCAAUUUUUUUUCAGGUACAAAUGAUUUCGUAUAAAGGUACCACAUGUGGGUCCCUUUAACUGAAGGCAUGGCAAGCUCCACACAAGGUCCUUCAUUUCUGAAUUUCAAGGUAAGUCAUCUUGUUUUUCUAGAUUGUAAUAUGGCUUGUAACCAGUGAUGUGAUGAUUCUGCCAAAUGAUACAAAGUGAUAUCACCUUUACAACCGUUCCAUUUUAUUUCUGAGGUUACUCUGGUAACAUGUUAGCUUGAACCAUUCUAAGCCAGAUGAGUAAGUUUUUGUUUUCUUAGGGCUCCUCUGACAAGUGGACAGUGCAGUGGGUGCACCUUUUCCAGAGGUGACUGGAUGGAUGCUUGAACAGAAGAUUUGCCAAAUAGACAUUGUGCUGUCAAGAAUUUUACCAUUAAAAGUGCAUUAUUGUAGC
rnacentral:lncRNA from 1 species